ensembl:lncRNA
CGCACUUGCCAUCGCCCUGGGCCCUGGGAAGCAGACUCUCUAUUCAGAAGGAAUUUUCUCAAAGCUGAUUUGCUGACCCAUCCCUUCCACAGGCUCAAGUUGUCAAGAACGCCGGGUCAACAGGCAGUUCCGCUAAGGUGAGGCCAUCACACAG